ensembl:miRNA MIR767 microRNA 767
GCUUUUGUACUGUAAGCUUUCGCUCAUGCACCACGGUCGUCUGAGCAUGCGUGUUUCUCUGCUCAUACCCAAUGGUUCUUGAGCAGGAAACCUCAUUGCCCGCUGCU